rnacentral:rRNA from 1 species
AACGUAGGGGGCCAGCGUUGCUCGGAAUUACUGGGCGUAAAGGGUCCGUAGGCGGUGUGGCAAGUCGGAAGUGAAAUCUCUGGGCUUAACCCAGAGGCUGCUUCCGAAACUGCUGUGCUAGAGUGUGAGAGAGGCGAGUGGAAUUGCGGGUGUAGCGGUGAAAUGCGUAGAUAUCUGCAGGAACACCCGUGGCGAAGGCGGCUGACUGGAUCGCAACUGACACUGAGGAACGAAAGCUAGGGGAGCAAACAGG